UCGGAAGUAGUAUAAAGGUGAGUAUAUGGGCUCUACACGCCCAAGAUCCGGGUUCGAUUCCCGGCUUCUGAA